GCAAAACUCUUGUGGAAUCAAAACCCGAGAGCACACACAAUCAGAUAGCAAAACGAGUUGAAACUAGGCAAAACGAGAACAGAUCAAAACAAGAGGGUUAGUCGAAUAAAAGCUAAAUUAAAUGCUCAAGUAAAAACUAAUCUAACCCUAGCAUGCUAGUAGGCAAGAUUAAAAAGGCUAGCAACUAAUUUUUUAGAGGUUUUUCUGAUUUCAAUUAAGCAGAAAAUUAAUUAUGGCCUAGAGCAAGAAAUUUAAUUUCACAGCAAAACUUCACUUGACUAAGCAUACAAAAAGUUCAACAAUCAGCACAUCUCAAAAUCCAGUGGAAGCAAAACUUAACAAGAAGCUAAUAUUAAACCUAAACAAGGCUAAGCACCAAAUUGGAGAUUAACCUGGCUGCUGAAAAUAGUGUAAGACAAUCUGUCGAACAGUGUAUGGGCAUGUAAUAACUCACUUGAAAUUGACGUCACAUUUACCUAGGAUUUCUAAUGAAGACCUUGGGUUUGGAGCUGAACCAGGACAUGCUCAUCUGUCCCCUGCACCAGUCCAGCUGCUACUUAGUCUGGUGCUGAUCAGAUGCCUGUGCUGCUUGCCUCCCUGCCUCGCACCGCUGCAGGCUGCUGAUGACUUGCUCUGCGCCAGGGACCAGAUCGCCUGGACCUGCACUGCUCCCUGCACCAAGAACAGCCCAACGACCAGCACCAAAAAUUCCUGCGCAAGAACAACAGAGGGAGACCAAACCAAAAUCCAACACCGGAGAAACAAAAUCUAAUCAAAUCAACAGCCCAGAGGGCAAGAGGAGGAGAAGGCCUCCUUUCCCAUCGAUUUGUAGUACCAGGUCUCAAAGAUCCAUAGGAAAAAACUUAACCCUAGGUGGAGAAAACAAAAGGCAAGGAAAAGAGGAACCAGAGAGGGGCACGAAGGGGGUGACGGGAACUUGUGUGGCACACCCUAGUUGGCUGCCCUCCUCUCUCUAUUUUAUCCCCUCUAACUCUCUAGAUUAAAGACUAAAAUACCCCUAGACUUAACUAGACACUAGAAAGCCCGUAGGGGCAAAACCGGAAAAGAUACAUUGGACUCAUCCGACAGCCGAGGUUCUUUCUUCGACUUGAAGCCUUCUCCGCGAUGCCGCCAUGUGGACGAAGAUCCGUUCCGCGGUUUUGGAGGGUCCACGAAACCCGGGUAGGUGGCCGGUUUUGAGAAAACCGUCAAAACUCCACGCGCGGGAAGAUUCCCGCCUCCACGCCGUGGCCCUAGACGUCGUUCCCGCCUCGGCCUUCUGACGGCCCUAGACGCCACCCGACGCCCGUCACCUUCUCGCCCGCAGCGAGGCCCUAGACGCCGUCGAGCCAAAAAUAAGUUGUUAACAUUCAUUUUUCAAUCAAUUUUAUCUCAAGCAAUUCUUAAUGCCAGGGGUUGAAAGCUUGUCAUGCUUCACUUAGCAACGAGGCCAAGCCUAUGCCAAAAGACAAUCAGAAGCUUAAAGCACUCGUUUCAGUCAUGCACAGCCUUGCUCGGGUUCUCACAAGUGCAAAGUGAGCCAUCCCGAAAGCUCGAUCAGUGCGACAAGCAAUCCCACCUAGAUCUUUUCAAUCCAUUUCAAGAACAGUUCAAGCAAUUUUAUCAAAUUUAGAUCAUUUCAAGUAUGAAUUGCUGAACGAAAAGCUACACUAUCAUGAAUAAGAUAGCAAAGCACAUCAACACGCCCUAACAUGCUAGUAGCCAAAACAGAGUGAUCAUGUUUUUGGAUUUUCAAAACAAAAUAGCUUAACUCAGAAGAUGUCAUAUACACAGUGGAGCAAGCUAUACAUGAUCAAAUUUAUCAACUCACACUAGCAGGCACUAGAAGAUCAUAGCAAUGUAUACAAGAAUGCUAGUGCAAGUGAGGCAAUGCGAAAUGCAAACAUGUACAAUGCAUAUGCACAAUGCAACUACCAAACCUAGAAAUCAAAGAGAAGCAAAUAAAACCUACAAAGCUAACCAAACAAAAGUCAGCGAUCAAAAGGGGUAACAAACCCCAAGCUCCCCUCGCAAGCGAGCAAAGGUGUCCUGCUCAAGCGGUUUGGUGAGAAUAUCUGCGGUUUGCCUCUCUGAAGGAACAUGGAUCAGGUCUAUGUGUCCUCUCUCAUGGUUAUCUCGCAGGAAAUGGAAUCGGAUAUCUAUGUGUUUGGUUCUGGAGUGUAGAAUAGGGUUCUUUGCAAUGCUAAUGGCUGACAUGUUGUCUACAAAGAUGGGAACCCUACCAAAACUCAAUCCAUAAUCCUGCAAGGUUUGUUUCAUCCAAAGUAUCUGGGAGCAGCAACUAGCAGCGGCAACAUACUCAGCUUCUGUGGAAGAAAGCACUACGCUAGCCUGCUUACGAGAGGACCAAGACACCAAAGAUGUACCGAGAAAUUGAAAAGUGCCGGAUGUUGACUUGCGGUCCAACCGACACCCACCGAAAUCGGCAUCAGAAAAGCCCACCAAAACCAGAGAAGAAUCCGCAGAAUACCAAAGACCAAAUUCAGGGGUGAAUUUCAAAUACCUGAAGAUGCAUUUCACCACCUGCUUGUGGGAGGUGCGCGGCGAAGCCUGAUACCGCGCGCAGAGGCAGACGCCAAACUGGAUGUCCGGUUGCGUCGCCGUCAGGUACAGGAGAGAGCCGAUCAUGCUCCUAUACUCCUUCUAGUCCACCGCCUCGCCGUCCAAGUCCUCAUCAAGCGCCGUCGAAGUGCUGAUCGGAGUCAGCUGAGGAGACAAGUCACUCAUGUCGAACUUCCGCAGCAAGUCUCUAGUGUACUUGGCUUGAUGGACAAAGGUGCCCUGAGGAGUUUGCUUGAUCUGCAGCCCAAGGAAGAACUGCAACUCACCCAUCAUGCUCAUCUCGAACUCCCUGGACAUCUGCUCAGAAAACUUGGAGACAAGAGCGUGAGAAGAGCCACCAAAGAUAAUAUCAUCCACGUAUAUCUGAACUAAAAAAAAAAUCAGUGCCAGAUCGCAUGAGGAACAAAGUUUUAUCAACACAUCCCAUUUUAAAGCCCUGAGCCAGCAAAAAGGUUUUCAAUCUAUCAUACCAAGCUCUAGGUGCCUGUUUCAAACCGUAAAGAGCUUUCUGAAGUUUAUAAACACGGUUUGGAAACUUGAGAUUUUCGAAACCAGGGGGUUGCUUCACAUAAACCUCUUCUUCAAUAAAGCCAUUCAAGAAGGCAGAUUUAACAUCCAUUUGGAAAACUUUAAAACCCUUGGAAGCAGCAAAUGCAAGAAAGACUCGAAUAGCUUCCAAACGAGCAACAGGGGCAAAAGUUUCCUCAAAAUCAAUACCCUCUUUUUGGCAAAACCACUGGGCAACAAGACGAGCCUUGUUUCGAACAACCAACCCAUCCUCACCCUGCUUGUUUUUGAAAACCCACUUCGUUCCGAUGGGAUUACAACCAGGUGGAGGCUCGACUAAAACCCAAACUUGGUUUCUUUCAAAAAUUUCAAGUUCCUCAUGCAUGGCAUUGACCCAAUUAGAAUCAGAAAGAGCGUGUCCAAUAUCUUUGGGCUCAAAAGAGGCAACAAAUGCUGAAUGAGCAAAGCCAGCGAUACUUGUUACCUUGGACCUGGUAACUCGCUCGUUGAGAUCACCUAGCAUCUGUUGAGGUGGAUGAUGACGCUGAAUGUGUCGAGGUGCUUCCCGCGUCGAAGUCGCCUCCUCCUCAACCAAAUCUGGUGUCUCCUUAGGUGCAACUGGUGAAGCCUGAGUCACCUGCUCGAUCGGCCCUCGGGAAGUAGACGUAGUCGGGUGGGGUCGUUGUCAUCGUCCGAGCUCGUGGCAGAGACGGCUGGGUCCACAGCACGUGUGGUAGCCUCAGCGUCGCCCUCCGUAGCUUUUUCCUCCUCAUCUUCAAAGAUGGAGGUUCCGAGCUCAUCAUCUCCUGCAACUUCAAAGACAGAAGAAUUGCAUGGUGCAGUCUCGUCGAAGGUGACUUCACAAGUCUCUCUAACGAUGUUAGUAUCUAUAAUCAGCACACGGUAAGCUCUGGAGUGAGAAGCAUAACCGAGAAAAAUGCCGUCAGACGAGCGAGACUCAAACUUAUCAAGAUUUCCAUCUUUCAGCACAAAGCACCGGCAACCGAAAACUCUGAGAUGGUCAACACGGGGCUGGCGUCCAAAUCGCAACUCAUAAGAAGUCCUGUGCAUGAAAGCACGCAAGAAAAUGCGGUUGGACACGUAACAAGCGGUGUUAACCGCCUCAGCCUAGUAUUUGCGAGGAGUCCUAUGCUCAUCGAGCAUCGUCCUCGCCAUCUCAACCAGCGUCCGAUUCUUCCGCUCUACAACUCCAUUCUGCUGUGGAGUGUAGGGAGAAGAAUACUGGUGUUCAAGCCCUUGAUCACUACAAAAGGCGUCAAAACGAGCGUUUUUGAAUUCUGUGCCAUUAUCACUGCGAAUCGCUCGCAUGGCCUGGGGUAGCUCAUUUUUCAACCUCAAGAUCAAGUCUCGAACAAACUCGAAAGUCUCAUCCUUGGUUCUCAUGAAAAAGACCCAAGAAUAGCGAGAAAAGUCGUCCACGAUCACAAGAACAUACCACUUCCCACCAACAGACAUCACCCUAGAAGGACCAACUGUGUCCAUGUGUAACAACUCUCCAGGGUGAGCGGUCAUCACCUGAUUAACAGGCGGAUGAGCAGCGGCAAACAUCUUCCCGUGGCGACACGGAUGGCAAACAAGGUCCUUUUCAAACUUCAAUUUGGGCAAUCCUCGGAUUAGGCCAAGUGAGCUAAGUCUUGACAACAGAUCGAAGCUCAGAUGUCCAAGUCUCCUAUGCCACUUCCACAAAUCAGAAGAAGGGCCAGCCAACAAGCAACGAGAAGGGCCAAGAGGAGUUCCAGAGAAGUCAACCAAGAAAACCCGAUCGUGAGGUGUAAUCUGGCAAACCAAAUCUCCUCUGGAGUCCAAAACACGCAAACAACCCUCCUUGAAGCGAACCUCAAACCCCUCAUCAAGAAGUUGCAAAACAGAGAGCAAAUUGAACCCAAGGUUCGAAACCAAAGCAACCUCUCUCAGGGUAAAGCGAUCAGAAACUUGAACAGCGCCAAGUCCACGUACCUUUCCUCUUCCAUUAUCCCCGAACACAAUGUACUCCUUUGAGCGCAUUGGGGUGAGGCUGGAGAACCAUUUGUCAUUUCCGGUCAUGUGGUGCGAACAACCGGAGUCCAUGAUCCACCUGUUCUCCAAGCCUCCAACCUGCAUAUCAGUAGUGAGACAAAGGGUGAGCAAAUGUCUCAACACUGGGGUUAGCAAAGUGAGAAGCAAACCAGGGUCGAGCCAUUUGCUCUACAGAGGGGUUAGCAAAACCAGACAAAGCGUAUCCCCCGUCCCGUCUACCGCGUGACUGACGAACACCACCGCGAGGAAAGCGUGGAGCCUCAAAACCUCCUCCAAAGCCUCGGUCCUGUGGUCCAUAGCCGUACUAAAAACGACCAGGAGCACGACUGGCAAAGCGACCACCCGCUGGAGCAUGGUAACCACCACCGUCUCCCUAACCUCCACCUACACGGCGCACCCAAGCAUCUUGCCUACCACCAUGCCGAGGAGGACCAUGCACCCGAGCAGAGUACAUGUCCGCGUUCCGAAUCUCCUGCUCACGCCUCACAGCCCGCUUUCUUCUGAAGCAAAACUCCUCAAAGUGACCUUCCCUGUCAUAGUACUCGCAGUGGUACCUCACCUCACGCUUGGGAGGUGGAGGCCUAGCCUGCGGAUGGGGAGAAGCAGCCCCCUUCUUCUGGGCAACCUGGGCUACGGCAGCAGGGAGCAUGUCGAGGGGAUUCCUCAGCUCAUUGGGUUUUGGAACCCAAACCUGCUUCUGCGGAGGUGCUUUCGGUGGUUCUUUAAGCACACCAUCCGCGGGGUCAACAAACAAAGGCUGCGUGCUUGUACUAGCAGUGUUUCCAGCAGCUUUGCCGAUCUUACCAUACAACUUGUCAAAGUCUGACUUCGUGUAUGUGUAACCGACCCUAAACCCAUCACCACGCUUGAACUGCUUAAUCAUCAUGCCCAACUGCGGCUCACUAGCAGAAACCCAACUAAGAAUCGCCCUAAGAUAGGUAUUCUCAUUCUCCAAGUUAGCUUUCUCUACCGCAAGAUUAUCCAAAUCAGAGAUUAAACCAGGGCAAACAGAGCAGUCAAUAGGUGGGCUAGACUCCACGACCUUAGUCUUCCCUAAAGACUUAACCAAGGCGUUCUUCUCAUCUAGCUCCAACCUAAGUGUGGGACAAAGCUUGCAAGCACCAAGCAGAACUGGCCUAGACUUCAUCUCCUCUAGCUCGCACACAACAGUAGCAAACUUGGACUGCAACGAAGCUAGAUUGGACUUUAAGAUAGGACACUCAUCACAUUCAAGCACAUCGCUAACAAUAGGAGCGUCCUUAACCAGUUCUAGUUCAUGCUUGGCCUUAGCGAGCUCAUGAGACACGUCAGCAAGCGAAGUCUUAGCAACAUCUAAGUUCAUGACGUUCUCAUCAUGCUUGGCACGGAGAGCAACAAGAUCAUUCAUAUCAGAUAUGCAGCCAGCGCACUCAUCCUCACUAGAUUUCUCCCUAGCACAAGCCAGCUCAGCCCUAAGCUUUCUACGCUCUUUAGCUGCUUCCUUAAGCAGCCUCUUCUGGUUGUUGAGAGCGGCGUACAACUCCCUGACCUCCGUAUCAAGCAGGUCGAUUGUGGAGUUUACCUCUGAAUCGCUCUCGGAUCCAGGAGAAGAGUCGACGUGCGUCGGUGUAGCAUGUCCACCCGAAGACGCACGAGCACCAUCCGCUUCGCCCGCCAUGGUGCAGAAACCCUUGUGCCGACCGGCCGCCAAGCACAGGCCGAUGAAACUGAUGGCUUCCUUGUCCUGCUUCUUCUUCUUCUUGUCGCCGUCGUCGGAGGUCGGUGAAGAAGAGCGGUCGGUAUCGGAGCUCUUGUCGAGGUCGCUGAGCUGCGCGAGAAAGGCCUUCUCCCGCUUCUUGGUCUUGUACUGGAAGCGCUUCUUUAGCGACUCCUUGUCGAAGUGUCCUCCCCGAUCAUGACUGCGGUGCUUGUGGUGCCGACGCUCCUUGUUGGAGCCUCCCACGUCGCGGUCGCGGUGGCAGUAGUAGUCGAAGUGGUUGUUCUGGCCACCGCCGGACUUCUUGGGGCAAUCGGCGAUGAAGUGGUUCAAAUCGCCACAGUUGUAGCACCCGAGGUUCUUCUUCCUCUUCCUGUUGUGGUAGACGCGCUGGAACUUGCUGAUGAGGAGGCACAAGUCGUCGUCACCCAGCGUCUCCAGCUGCUCAUCUGUAACAGAAGGCAAAGAGGCAAGAGAAAAGCCAAGAGCAGAGUUGGCGUUAGAGCUCAUUCCACCUGGGCCAGUCACAAGAGCGAUGCUCUUGGAAGGAGGGGCACCAUUGAGCUUGGCUCGUGUCUGGUUAUCCACCUCCGUGGCCUUGAGCUUGCUGAAAAGCUCGUUCACGGUUAGAGUCUCAUAGCUUGCAGACUCAAUGAUCCUAUUCACCUUGAGAUCCCACACAGAGCGGUCAAGUGCGUAGAGCAGUUUGAGGGCCUUCUUGUGCUCCUAUACUCAAGGGCAUCAGCAGAUCUAUUCGCAUUGACUUUGUUCACAAUCGAUUGAAACCGACUGAACAUAUCGCCAAUGCUCUCACCCGGCCCCUGUGUGAAUUUCUCGUAUUCACGCCGGUGAGUCUCGAACAAUCUGGCCUUCACCUGAGGUGUGCCCUCGUGGUAGUUCUCAAGGCAUGUCCAAGCUUUGUGGGCUUCCUGAAAACCCUCGACGCGUGAGAACUCCACGCGUGAAACGCCAGCGAACAAGGCAUUGAUAGCCUUGGCGUUAGCCUCGUGCUCGGACACCUGAAGAGGUGUGGUCCGAGCGGCAAGCACCUCGUAAGCCUGGUUCUUGGUAAUCUCCCAAACCUCAGCUCCCAUGCUUUGCAAGAAGGCUCGCAUAUGCACCUUCCAAUAAGCAUAGUCCUCGCCGGCAAACACUGGGAUCUUACCAAGACUCGCCAUGGUCGCCAAGUGGUUUUCGAACCGGUUAAGGUACUGAAAAUCUCAACCAAGCUCUGAUACCAAUUGAAGGACCGGACAGGCGACCAGAAGGGGGGGUUGAAUGGAAGCCUCAAAUUUGAUCCGAAAAUCGAAGAAGAAAAAGUCCCGAUACAAACACCACACCACAGCUUCUAAAAUGUGCCAACACUACGCAGCAUGGACAAGCUGCUAGUGCUAGGAACACAAUCAGAGUGUCGCAAAACUCUUGUGGAAUCAAAACCCGAGAGCACACACAAUCAGAUAACAAAACGAGUUGAAACUAGGCAAAAUGAGAACAGAUCAAAACGAGAGGAUUAGUCGAAUAAAAACUAAAUUAAAUGCUCAAGUAAAAACUAAUCUAACCCUAGCAUGCUAGUAGGCAAGAUUAAAAAGGCUAGCAACUAAUUUUUUAGAGGUUUUUCUGAUUUCAAUUAAGCAGAAAAUUAAUUAUGGCCUAGAGCAAGAAAUUUAAUUCCACAGCAAAACUUCACUUGACUAAGCAUACAAAAAGUUCAACAAUUAGCCCAUCUCAAAAUCCAGUGGAAGCAAAGCUUAACAAGAAGCUAAUAUUAAACCUAAAGAAGGCUAAGCACUAAAUUGGAGAUUAACCUGGCUGCUGAAAAUAGUGUGAGACAAUCCGUCGAAUAGUGCAUGGGCAUGUAAUAACUCACUUGAAAUUGACCUCACAUUUACCUAGGAUUUCUAAUGAAGACCUUGGGUUUGGAGCUGAACCAGGACAUGCUCAUCUGUCCCAUGCGCCCAGUCCAGCUGCUACUUAGCCUGGUGCUGAUCAGAUGCCUGUGUGAUGCUGGCCUCCCUGCCUCGCACCGCUGCAGGCUGCUGACGACUUGCUCUGCGCCAGGGACGAGAUCGCCUGGACCUGCACUGCUCCCUGCACCAAGAACAGCCCAGCGACCAGCACCAAAAAUUCCUGCGCAAGAACAACAGAGGGAGACCAAACCAAAAUCCAACACCGGAGAAACAAAAUCGAAUCAAAUCAACAGCCCAGAGGGCAAGAGGAGGAGAAGGCCUCCUUUCCCAUCGAUUCGCAGUACCAGGUCUCAAAGAUCCAUAGGAAAAAACUUAACCCUAGGUGGAGAAAACAAAAGGCAAGGAAAAGAGGAACCAGAGAGGGGCAGGAAGGGGGUGACGGGAACUUGUGUGGCACACCCUAGUUGGCUGCCCUCCUCUCUCUAUUUUAUCC
rnacentral:lncRNA from 1 species